rnacentral:lncRNA from 1 species
UUGAAGUCUAUGGGAGCCCGAUAAUGUCUGGUUGGAUAAACCAAAGGAUGUGUAAAGCACUAUAUUGAUUCUCAAAAUUAAUAAAUAGUCCACUGAGGAUAAUUUUAAAAAUUAAAUUUUGGUAACAAAUCUGAGGAUAUUCAGCUAAUUAAUUAUAGUACAUAAUUUUUAGCACACCUGUAAAAGAAUACUGAAAUACUAUAAUAUUUCAAAUAAUAUGUGUGUGUGUGUGUGUGUGUGUGUGUGUAAUACCAGCUCCCAAGGUAGGGAAAAGCCUAUAUCAAUUCCGAAUGUACUGUAUGUGAAAGUGACAGUCUUGUUUUGCUGCUAGGUUCUACCCCCUGCCUGGAGCAGUUAGGUGAAUACUCCUGGCCCAAUGGUGACACCUGGUGGUCAGGACACUUGUUGGCUACCUUCUUAAGUCAGUUAUUUAGUCAUUGCAGGCAAACAUGUCCACUAGGCUUUUUGAAUAUUAUUAUUAUUAUUAUUAUUAUUAUUAUUAUUUUGGUACCGGAGCUUGAACUCAGGAGUACUGGACCACUGAGCCACAUCCCCAGCCCUAUUUUGUAUUUUAUAUUUAUAGACAGGGUCUGGCUGAAUUGCUUAGCGCCUCACCAUUGCUGAGGCUGGCUUUGAACUCACAAUCCUCCUGAAAUAUACUAUCCUAUUUAAUUCUCACAGCAAGCCUAGGGAUCCACAUUUUGUGAAUAAAUGAUUCAAAGUCUCCACAGAUGUUAUGUGUAAUGCCGAGAUUCUGAUACAGGUGUAAUGUCAAACAGGGUGAUGCCAGAUAAAGGGGGAAAGUGUGUUCUGUGCUGAAGUGUUUCUAAAUAGGCAACUUCCUAAUGGUUUUAAGGUGCAGUAGGUAUCAUUUGAUUUGUCCUCUGCAAGACUUGGAAAUGAAAAACUAUCCUGUGAUAAGCUUCACCCUUUCUCUUCCAACUAAAAUCUGGCUUUAAUCAAGGUAAACACAGGUAAAGUAAGCAUAUUGCUUGAUUUUUUGUUCAUUUUUUUACCUUUUAGGCUGAGCAGAGAAUGAGAAAAGUCUGAUUCUUGAUUUAUUUCCCCCUUGUUCCUCAAUUCUUUUAAAAAUUUAAUUUUUUUUUUCAGAAUAUUAUGUAGUUGGAAUCGAACAGUUUGGAGCCCUUUCAGACUGGUGUCUUUUGCUUAGUAAUGUGCAUCUAAGCUUCCUCCAUGUCUUUUCAUGGCUUCCUAACUUUUUUUAGUGCUUAAUAAUAUUCUGUUAUCUAGAAUUCAAUUCAUUUGUUUUCAUCAGAACAUCUUUAUUGCUUUCAAGUUUGGGCAGUUAUGAGUAAAGAAGCUAUAAACAUGCAUAGUUAGGGUUUUAUAUGGAUAUGUUUUCAAUUCACUGGAUUAAAUACCAGAGAACAUGACUGCUGGACCACAUGGUGAAAAUGUAGUCCAUGCUUUAUAAAGGUGAAUGGUUCACUGGAGGCCAAUAAUUAAUAUUCUGCUUUGUAAACAUGUAACUUAAGGUCAAAAAAGUUAAAUGACUUACUCAAGUAUUAUACUAGUAAUAAGUGAUAGAGCAGGUCUAAACUUUGGGUUUUCUCCCUACUGGUCCAAGACUUUUUACUGUCUUAUGUGGCUUCCUCAUUACAUGACAGAGAAAAAGUUUAGAUUUCUUACCCAGAGGUCUAAGUCUAAAAUUAUCACACAGCUCAAAAAAGACUGCAGUAAUGUCAUACCUAGAACUGGGUGGGGAAAAAGGUACAAGCUAGAAAAGUAUAAUAUUUUAAGACCUUCAAGAGUGAUGAGGAUAUUAAAGUUUCAAAUAAACCCAAGUGUUUUAUUUAUGUUUAAAACUUGUUAAGUCGAUAGUGAAAUAGCAACUUACAGGAGGAAUGAAAAUACUUACAAAUCCCAUAUCCCAUAGGGUUUAAUAUCCGGAGUUGGGCUGGGUUUGUGGAUCAGUGGGAGGGCACUUGCCUAGCAUGUGUGAGGCACUGGGUUCAAUUUUAAGCACCACGUAGAAAAAUAAAUAAAAUAAAGUUAUUAUGUCCAAUUAUAACUAAAAAUGUUUUUUUAAAAAAUACCCAAAGUAAUGGGCUGGGGUUGUAGCUCAGCGGUAGAGUGCUUGCCUAUCAUGUGUGAGGCCCUGCAUCACAUAAAAAUAAAUAAGUAAAAUUAAGGUAUGUGUCGAACUACAACUAAAAAAUAAUUUUUUUAAAAAUCCAAAGUAAAUAAAGAACUCCUUCAACUCAACAACAAUAAAUUUUGAUUAACAAAUGGGCAAAGGAUUUCUCCAAAGAAGUUGCACAAAUGACCAAUAAGCACAAGAUGUACAGCAUCACUUAUCAUUAGGGAAAUGAAAAUCAAAACUACAAUUAGGUUACCAACAAUAAAAAUUAAAAAAAAAAAAAACAACUACAAUUAGGAACCACCUCACACCCAUUAGGAUUGGCUACUAUUCAAAAAUAAUAAUAAUAAUAACAAAUGUUGACAAGGGAAUGGAAAAAUAGGAACCUUCUUGUGUUGUUGGUCGGGUAAUAUAAAAUAGUGCAG